CAAUUUCACUAACCCUGGAGAGCCACACCCCCUCCUCUCCAAGAUCCAGCCAUCGCACCACCCCUAAACUUCAGCACACCCCCUACCCUAACCUUUCAGAAAGACCUAACCUCGUAAAAAACAAAAGCAGCCGCCACCCAAUUUCGCCGAAAAUUCGGCAACCACCAACACAACACAACACGACACACACACACAAAACAGAAAAAGAAACGAUGCUGGGAAGGGAUAGAAAGAGUGAAAACGAACAUAGAAAAGCUGAGAGAGGAAAGUUCAUCUUCAUGAAUUCAUCCUUUUAAUGAAGUAGUUGUUUUCCUGGACUUUAAAAAAAACUCACUGAAGAACACUUACACUCUCCAAAAUACCAAAUAGUGCAAAGUUCAAUCUUCUGUACUCUACCUGUAAGCUCAAGGAUGUGACUACCAUCCAAACACUUCCGUCCCUUCAAAAUUCAUCUCCAAUAAAUUCUCACACUGACAAAACAACAAAGAGUUCGAGAUCAGUCCAAUCAUCGAAAAUCGGGUUCACUUGUAAUAGUAAAGGUUUCGGCGAAUUCAUUCUCAGUUCAUAAUAGAGGACGUCGUUUCCUUGCUGUCGGCGUCGACGUCCUUUAACUCCGUUAACAUCUCAGCUGGUGCGAGAGGUUCACCAUUAGUCUCAAGCUGUGGUUCGAGUUCCAGGCAAAUUCGCUGUUCAAGCUAGUCCCUGUUUUCAUUCUCCAGUCGCAUCUAGCUCAACAAAACUUGCUGUAAUGGAAUUUUGCUAAUUAAAAAGGAAAGGUUGCUGAGGUACGGCUCCAUUUGCUAGAGCUUGAGCAUGACAGACGCCCCAGGACCAUCCAGUCAGGACCACUGCAUUCAGGAGCUAAUUGAGGAGACUUUUCAAUUUUUUUGAGUCUGAUUUCAUGUUUUCUUUUACUUUCUAGUCUUGUCCAGUAGUAUUGAGUCUUUUAGGCGGGGUCAGAGUUUGUCAUAGUCUGGCUGAGUCUGUUAAAUCUUUUGUCAUCGUACUUUCCAUUUUGUAUUUGAAAGCAAAAAAAAGGGUAUAAAUGAAAAACCCAAAAAGAUUUUUGUUUUUA